rnacentral:lncRNA from 1 species
UUAAUGGUCUCUGAUGCCCAGUUAGAAACAGGUGAAAAGUCCUGAAUUCAGAGCCCUUGUCCGGGGCAUUUUAUCAGCAGGCCAGCCCAGUCUGUGGCCAAACGGGUCUCUUGAAAUCAUUAAUGCAUCAAGCAGGGACCAGUAGCCAGACUGACCUUUCCCACCCGAGGCCUGCCUGGAGCUUGGAAAAGUGAAGCUCUUUCCUGUAUGAGCCACCCCCAACUCCCCACUCCGCAUGACUCAGAAAGCUUGAAGGUGCCCUAAAAUGACUUUCUCCAUUGAGCUCAAGAAACAUUGUGUAGGAUCAGCCUGUCUGAAACUCCUUAUAUGGAGAGGUUCUGAGACUCUAUUUUAUGUUUGGUUUGUAAGAGGAUCAUAGCUUUAAAAAAGAAAGAAAAGAAAGGAAAGCCUAAGGCAAGGCAAUGAUAUCAUAUUACUAAGAGGCCUGGUU